rnacentral:lncRNA from 1 species
ACCCGCAGUGCCGCCCGCCCGCCUUCCAGGCUCGCGGCGGCCGGGCUCUCACUUCCUCUGCCUCUGCCCGCCUCCCCGGCUCGCCGGCUGGCGUCGCCACCGCCUCCUCGUCCCCGGCCACCGCUGUCGCCUCCGCUGCUGCAAUCCAGGGCGCACGCUCUCGCACUUUCCGCUGGCGGCGCGGAGGAUGCCCCCUGUAGCAGUCGGGGAGAAAUAGCCUCCCGGCCGGGCUGGACCACCCUUGGUGGCGAGGAAGGAAAUCCGGGCUCCGCUUCCCUUGAUGGCACUGCAGCAGCUGGCAGCCGGGACGGCGCCCACGAAACGGGCGCGCCAAGCUGGGCGCGGGAGGCGCAGAGAGGGACCCCGGGAGCAGGCUGAGCUCCGCUGCCGGAGUUCGCAAGUGGCUGGGACUCCGCAGGUGACUCUGUCCAGACCUGGGGCCCUCCAGGGAUGUUGCUGAAGGAUUCUGAAGUCAGGUAGACCUGCAUAGCUGAGUGCCCGGCACUGAGCACAUGGCCUUCCCUAUCAGUAUCAUUCAUUCAUUAAGCAUCGCUGAUGCACAGGCUGUUUGUUCAGCUCUCACUGUGUGCCAUUUUGGCUGCCUGAUGCAUCCCAGCUCGUAUACCUUCCAGUGACCAAGAGGAAGGAUAGCUACCCCCUUGUAGAGGCAGGAAAACUGAGAAUUCAAGAGAGGCUGAAUGGAGCCCCAAGGACAUGAAUUUAAUAAGUUGUCUGAGCCUAGGCACAUCUAACUGAUCCCAAAUCUGUGCUCUUUCAAGUCUCUGCUAUCCUUCUCUCUGAGUGUUGUGGGUUGAAUUAUAGUCCCCAUCCCACCAAAGCAGUCCAUGUUCUAAUUCCUGGAGCCUGUGGACGUGGUACCUUCCACAUGUUAAGAGGGACUUUGUUUAAAUGAAGGACUUUGAGAUGAGAAGGUGAUCCUGGAAUAUCCAAAUGAGUUCUAGGUCACUGACAAGAUCCUUAGUAGAAGGAAGCAGGGAGUCAGAAUCAGUCUGAGGAGAUGUGACCAUGGACACAAGAUGUGGAAUGAUGAGAAGAAGGGAUCAGGAACCAAGGAAUGUAGGCAGCUGUUAGAAGCUGAAAAGGCAAAGAAAUGAAUCUCCCGAAAGCCUGAAGCAGGAAUUAGCAUUGUGGAGCUUUGAUUUGAGACUUUUGACCACCAGAACUAUAAUAAAAUAAUAUUUGUAAGCCACCAAGUUUGUGGUAAUUAUAAUAUACUAUACGGAGAAAAAAAUAGGAAAAGAUGCCAGAAGAAUAAAUGAUUGUCCAGAGAAUGAAUGAGUGACACACAGUGAUAUUAACAAUGGCCCGCUUCAUAUCCUAGAGGCUCACAGUGUUCUCCAGGGCCCAGGACCUAUGUGGGAGAGGUUGGCAUUACCAUUAGAAUCUGUAGUCCUUCAUUUAUUUCAGGUUCCUUCAUAUAGUGCUUCAUUCAUUGUUAAAUCCCCAAAUUUUAUUCAUGUUCAUUGUAGUACUUCAUUUAUGUUCACUUGGUGCUCCAUUUACAUUCAUAUAGUACUUCAUUUAUUGUUAAAUCAUAAAUCUUUUCUGGAAGUGGAGUAAUUGAAAAAAUUUUUUAUUGUGAUGUAGCUUACAGACAGCAAAGUUGAAAAAUCAAUGAAUUUUUAUAAGUGCAUUGAACCAUGGAUACAUCCUUAAUGUGAAGAUAUAAAACAUGAUCAUCCAGGCCGGGGAUUUAGCUCAGUGGUUCCGCUGCCUGCCUUGCAAGGGCAAGGUCCUGAGUUCAAUGCCUGGUACCAGAAAAAAAAACAUGCUCACCUUUUAUAACAUUCCUUUGCAUCACUUCGAAUACUUAUACCCCCAUCACUGGAGAGUAAUUUGCCUGACCUUGAACUUCAUGUGAAUGGAACCAUGCUUUACCUUUGCUUUGGUGCUUGGCUUCCUUUGCUUGGUGUUUGUGAGAUGUACCUACGCUGUUGCAUGUAUCAGUCCUGCCUUUUCAAAUUGAUUUAUACCCAUGCUCUUUUUGAAUUUUAAUUUAUUUUUUGGUGGUUCUGGGAAUUGAACUCAGGGCCUUUGCACUAAUCUACACCCUUAUCCGUAUAUUCUUUUUUUUUUUUGAGGCAGCAUCCCACUAAGUCUCUAAAUUACCCAAGUUGAGGUCCAUCUUGCAGUCCUCCUGCCUCCAGUUCCCAGAGUGAUGGAUUUAACCAUGCCCAGCACCCACUCUCCUUCUUAAGGACAUGUGGCCAGCUUCUCCCUCUUUGAGAUCCUAAUGAAUAGAGCUACUAGGAGCAUUCUGGUUCAAGUCUUGGGGUAGAUAUGUGUUCUCAUUUCUAUCAGAUACACACCUGGGAGUGGAAUUACAGGUUCAUAAGGUAAGUGGAUUUGGCUUUUGUGGACAAGCCCAAUUUUCCAGCCUGGUCCUAAAUCUAGGAAGGUCAUCCUCGCCCACAUCAGUCUUCUUUCCGAAUGACCCAUCUUCCGUCCUGCGCUGCACUACUGACCACAUUUGGGAGACAAGGAGGCCAGGGGGUCCCUCAUAUCUUGGUCCAGGAGAGCCUUCUCUGAGCUGGCGGUUUCUGUAGAGAUGGGAUUUUGGAGAGGGUAGAGAAGGAAGGGGGACACAUUCUUUCUGUGUUUGACCUUCCAUUUCAAAGUUGAUGAGGUAGAAGUUUGGGUUUCAGCUGAAUGUGGGGUGAAGAUACCUUCCAAACCUAAGUCAUCAGCUUACCACUUCCAUGAUUUUCCCCACAUUUGCUUAUUUUUCUUGGAAUUGAUUUACUUUUUUGCUGAAAAUUGCUUAUUGGGGAGGUUAACUUACCUGCAAAUAUGAAAUCAAUAUGCCUUUCCCUAAGUAGGGCUUAAUCACGAUAAACACUCAAAGUCCCAACAAGGAAGAUUGAUCCCAGCCACAUGCCCUUCCUUGCCUGGGGCACUGAUCCCUAGGUCUGUGUCUUGAACACAUUAGCCAGCCUUAGGGAGGUGUUAAAGGUCUAUCAGUCCCAAAUUGAGACACCGCUUGAUGUAAUCAGAGAGACUGAAAGACAUUUAAAAGCAAGUAAUUUUUCGCUUUGAGAUGGGAGAUUAUUUAAUGCUGUAAUCAUCUUUUAUGCCAAGAGGGCAUCUGUACUCUGGGCAACACUGGUGUAUUAAAAAAAUCUUCUGACUGGGUAUCAGAUCUUUUCUUGAAUGAUCUACUAGCUCUGCAAUAUUGGAUCAGUGACCUCACCUUUCUGAGCUUCAACUUCCUGAUUUGUAUAGUGAAAUUGUCAUAGCACCUGUUUCUGAGGCCUAUGAGACAGCCAAGAGAUAAUUGCUUUUGAUGGGUUUGUGAAUGGGUCAUCUGAUGAACCCUGUAUCUAAAGACUGAAGUGGACAUGGGAAUGAACACACAGGACAUUAUGCUUCUGCUAGGGCUCCUCUCCCUAGGCAGAGUCAUCUACCCUCCUGGGGAGUGUUUAUUACUUUGGGAUCCUGCCAAGGUUAAGUGCAGAAAAUGGCCCUGGUUUAUCAUUUGCUCAAAGGCUGGGACAUUUAAUCAGAGCCUCUGGAGGGUAAGCAGGAGGUUCCCAGUACACCUGCUCCUGGGCUGCAGUGAUGAGUUGGAAGAGGCAGAUUCUCUAACAGACCCAUCUGGGUCCUAGCCUUGUUCCAGUGUCUGCCUACUGUGUGUCCGGAGCACACCACUUCUCUUUAGGACUCAGUUUGCUCAUGUGUAAAUGGGAAUAUUCACUCCUACCUCAUUAGAUGGUAAGGAAGAUAGCACGAGAUGAUGCACAAAACACAACAGCAGGGUAUUUAACAGACAAACAUAGCUAUUACCAUUGGGGGGAAGUCAGGGACUGUAUUUAAAUACUCUGAAGAGCUGAAUGCCCCUCUUGAACUCAUGAUCAUCCUAAAUCUUCCUCUCAGAAUGUCUCUCUCCCACUUGCCCCCCAGACUCCAUUCCCUUCUUGCCUGUGCACCCCCCACAGGCCAGGCCAUGUUUGUUCACAAGCCUGGGUAGGUGUUCUGUGGCAGCUCUGACUCAGGUAAAACUUUUUAGGCUGAAAGUAUCUGAAACACAACUCAAAUGGGCUUUCGAAAAGAGAAUAAUUUGUUUUGCUCACAGACACCAAAAUCCACGUGUCUUGCUUAAGGUGUGACGUGAUCUAGGCUCAGACAAACCCAUUGGAUAUUAGUUUCUCUGCAUUUCUAGCUUCCCCUAGGCUUCAGCUGCCCUAAUGGUAGUAAGAUGACCCCAGGAGCCCAACCUCACCUCUCCCUGAUGUCCAAAUCCGUAAGAAACAGGAAUCUCUCUCUCCCAGCCAAAUUGAUUCUGAUCAGAUUGUCUACCUACUCCUAGAUGAGUGAGGUAGGUGGCCCAUACUGAUUGGCUUAGGCCAAGCAGGACCUCUUUUUGGAACUGAAUAUGGGGUCAACCCUACUGAACCCCAUUGGUUUGAGGAGAUGUUGAUUCUGCAGUGUAUCAGUGUUGGAAGAUGGAGGUAAUGGGGAAAGGAUGUUGGGGCUGUGGUCAACUAAUGUUCCCAUAUCUUUCUCAGCCAAAGCAAUAAGAGAUUUCCCAUUAGAAACCCAGCAGUGCAACAGGAUUGAAAGAGAGUAUGCAUUUCUCUCUCUCAAGUCCAUGCACAUGUAUACACCACACACACACACAAAUACACACACACACCCCUCAUUCCCAGUGCCAUGUUGCCUGAAAAUAACAAGAUUGAAGGCACAGUGAUGAGUGGGGCCAUAUCACAUGGCACUAAUUUUUUCUGGCAUCUGUAGCAAUUUCAGGCUCCCAGUUGAGGCCUGAUUUGGCUUAGCUGGUUGGAGUGCUAGGCUCCUGAGGUCAAGGAUAGAAAAAGGAGCAGAGCCCUGGGCCUGGAGGCAGAACCCCUGGAUCCUGAGCACACUGUGUCACUGAGCUAGAGCCCUUGGACAAGGCGCUUUCCUCCCUGGGCCACUGUCUCUGUGUUGCUCCCAAAUCCCCACCCUCCUGCCCCAACUCCUCCGUUAGGUCACCCUUCCCAUCUCUGAGGCCUCAGCCUGACUCUCCAUCCCCAAACGGCAUGUGGUACCCCUGCGAGUGCUUCUGCAGCCACAGACUUUAGAGUUUAAAUCCAAGCUUUCUGAUGUACACCCUGAGUGUCUUUGGCCCAGUUUAUUGACCUCAGGCCUCAGUUUCCUCAUCUAUCAAAUGGAAAUAAUGCCACCAGUACCUAUUUUGUGGAUGAUUGCAAUAACUAUGCUGGAUGAUUUCUGUAUGUAUUUAACUCAGGCCUGGGCUCAGUAAAUGCUAGCUGGAAAAUGAUUCUGAGUCCAGGUGAAAUCCCAAGCCAGUGAAAUCAACCUUUCCCUCUCUCACUGUGUAAGAUAUAUGGGGCUAGGGGUUUGUAUCAUUCUCUUCUACACCUCAAUAUCUAGCCUUGUGCCUGGCACGUAGCAGGUACUCAAUAAAAACUGUUGAAUAAAUGUCCCAGUUCAGAGUAUUCUAAGGCAUCCCCAGCUCUGUUCAUAGCAUGGAACUGCAUAAGUAGGUUGGCCGCAGGCCUCGUCAGGAAGAUCAAAUCUGAAAGGCCACUGUGAACUGUAAGGAGGAGGCUUCCUGUGUAGUAGAUUUCAGUGGCACUAAAUUCUCUCCUCUUCUUUGAAAUCCUAUUCUCUGCUCUCUCUAGUUCCACCCACCCAGAGUCUUGGGGAAUACCCAUGCUUCAAUCCAUUCCCACUGCCCGCCUCUGGCUUUAAAGAACUUGUUAGACGUGCAGCAAGUUGGAGCAAGACAUGGCCAGGGGUGGAGGGGGGGAAGAAGUCAUGAAAGUGGCUCCUCCACGGUGGAGAAGACAGGUAGCUGAAGAGCACAUUUGUGGUUUGCCCAGAGCUUGGCUUACAGAGACUGUGGACUUGCAGUAUUGGUAGAAUUGCCCUCUGUGGGAGCAGACCUAAGCAUGAUUACUCUCCUUGACAACCUCCCCAAGGGGUGGCCAAGAAGUGGAAGCUGGAGGCUGUACCCGCUCAGUCUCCUUGAGCUGGGAGCCUCCUCAGAACCUACAGCAGGCAGCUUGUUUCUCUUCCCCAAAGGCACUCUUGAAGCUGUGGACUGGCAGCUUUCUCUGGCCAACCAAAAUAUCCCAGGUGUACGUGUGUGUGUGGGAUAUCUGUUUUCCAAAUGGAAGCUGUCUUCCAGCCUUGCCUUUAUUUGUGUGUGUUAUUGGUUUGACUCAAUACAGUUUAUUGCUAAGUCAAGCUCCUCUGUACACAACAUUAUGCUUUGUACUCUCUAUACACACUGGGAGGUAGAAAAUAAGGAUGACAAUGAUAAUAACAUCAAUGAUGAUGGCAAAGGCAGUGCCCAGGCAUCAUGAUGAGAAUGAUGUCAAUGUCAGUGAUGAUGAUUUUGCUGAUGAUGACAUGUUGAUAAUAUAACAAAAAUCUACUGCCCUGCCAUCUUCAAAGUGCUUUAUUUAUUUAAUCCUCACAACCACCCAUUGAGAAAGGAACCCCGGUUAUUAAAUCCAUCACUUGCCAGUUAUGUGAUGCUGGGCAGUUGCUUUGUUUCACAGAGCCUCGACAUUCCUAUCUAUAAAUUGGGGAUAAAAGUAGCCAUUCUGGGUAACAUGCUUACCUGAUGUCUGAUGUGAUACUUAUAGCUCUAGCUUUGACCCUCCUGCCAACCCGUGGAAAAGACCUUGAUUUUACAAAAUAGCAGGCAAGUGUUCCCAGCUGGGAAUGGCUGAGUUGGGGUUCAAAGGCAGCCAAGGACUCACAGUCCUAUUGCCUUGCAGCACUUGUUGUGGGCAUCUCUGCAGAGAUAUUUCUGACCCACAUGAUCCACGUGGGCUACAGAGCCAGCUGGCCUGGGUCAGCCUCCAGCAAAGCCCUUGACCGAAGUAGCCUGGAGCCACCCUCAGCCAGGGCUUGGCUAUGGUGGCAGAAGGCUGGUGCUCUUGGGCUGGUGAACUGGUCACCUGAAACCUGGAAGAGUCUGGGAGGCAGAGACACAAGUCAAAGCCAAAGAAUCACAGCCAUAGUGUUUCUUAUUUUGGAGUCAAAAGAAUCUAGAUAUCUUUUUCCAGCCCUGCAAAUCUACAAAUAGGAGCCCUUGCUUACCAUGCACAAAAUUUGAUCCCCAGCACUGGAAAAAAAAAAUCCACAAGCAAGCAUCCAUAUCUCUAGGACCAAUCUAUCCGCUCUGGUGGCCAAUGGCCAUGUGUGGCAGCUGUGCACCUGAAAUGUGGCCAGGCUGAAUUGAAGUGUGCUGUAAGUGUGACAUACACACCAGAUUUUAAAGUCUUGGUAAGAAAAGGAAUUCAAACUUGUGAUUCUGCUAUCUCAGCCUCCCAGAGUGCUGGGCUUACAGAUGUGUGCCCCUGCGCCUGUCUACUUCUGCUGCUUUAAGCCACUUAAUUUGUAGUUUACUGUAGUUUGUUAUGGCAUCCCGGGACACUAAUUCACAAGGUGCUAUGGUCUGAAUACUAAUGCACCCUAAAGUUCACAUGCUCAUGUCCUCAUGCCCAGUGUGAUGGCAUUUGCAGCUAGGGGCAUUGGAAGGGAGGUGGUCAUGGAGGCAGACGUGCUCUGCAUGGGAUUCAUGUGCUGGCGAAAAGGGACAGGAAAGAGCUUGGUCCAUUUCCCAGGUGGAGCAGUGAGAAGAUAUCCUUCUGCAAGCUAAGAACCAGCACCUCACCAGUUAUAAGAUCUGGCGGCACUUUGACCGUGGACUUCACAGAUCUUUGACUUGUAAGGAAGAAGCGUUUGUUGUCUGUUGUAUUUGUUACAGAAGCUGAGUGGCUGUGACACCAGGCAUGGUGCUCUUGCUGUUGUCGCCUCACUGUAGGAAUCCCAGCUUAUCCCGGGGAGCUUGGAGAUGUGCCCUUCUCCUGUCCCCAGCCCAGACAUCCCAGCAGCUGGUAGCAGCUGCUGAGUGUCUAAGUAGCCCUCAGAACCUGAGCCGUGCACAAGGUACUGUGGUCAGCAGCCCAAUCCCUUCUGUCCAUGCAGUGUGAGUUCCUGCAAAUGACUGUUUUCAGGAGAAAAGCAGCUCCAGAGAGCUCUCAGCCACUCUGCAGGAGACACAGAUGCUCUUGAGUUAAUGAGAAGCAGAACCUCCUAUGGCUCAUGGCUGGGGGCCCCUGUGCCCCUGUCCUGGUUCUGUCCCUGGUCAGGGCUGGGCAGGUCAAUGUUGCCUUUCCAUAGUGAGAGGCUGUGGGCAGCCACUGAUCAGAGGCCAGGCCAAAGGCCCUGGGGGUGCAGGGUGGAUGAUCUAGAGGUUGAGUGAAGACACAUCCAGGGAUGCUGAAUUCAGUUAUGCAGUCUACAAAGAUCUGGCAUCCUUUGGACUCCUUGAGUGAAGGCCUGAGUGAGCUCUUGUCUCCUGGUGUCCUGUCACUGCAGCACACACAGGGGAUCUUUAUUUGGUCCCAGUGGAGGAGGGCAGGAGACCAAAGAAGACCAGCUCAGGGGUCAGAGUGUGUGUGUGUGUGUGUGUGUGUGUGUGUGUGUGUGUGUGUGUGUGUGUAUCGGGGCUGUCUGCAACUUGAACACCCUUGCCUUGCUGAGGGAUUCAGCAUAAACUCACUCUAGCUCUGGUUUCCAGGUUAGCUUGGGCUAUUCUCCUCAACACUUCUCAUGAGUCUUCACCCAGCUUUCACUUAUUUAUUUUUUAAAUAUUUAUUUACUUAUUUGCCAUCCUGGGAGUUGAACCAAGGGC